rnacentral:rRNA from 1 species
AGGGUUUGAUCAUGGCUCAGAACGUACGCUGGCGGCACGCCUUAUACAUGCAAGUCGAACGAAGUAGCAAUACUUAGUGGCAGACGGGUGAGUAACAUGUAGGUAUCUUCCCUUUGGUGAGGAAUAACACGAGGAAACUUGUGCUAAUACCUCAUAAGUCUUUACGGAGAAAGCUUUAUGCGCCGAAGGAUGAGCCUGCACUUGAUUAGUUUGUUGGUAGGGUAAUGGCCUACCAAGACUGUGAUCAAUAGCUGAUUUGAGAGGAUGAUCAGCCACAUUGGGACUGAGACACGGCCCAAACUCCUACGGGAGGCAGCAGUGGGGAAUCUUGCACAAUGGAGGAAACUCUGAUGCAGCGAUGCCGCGUGAGUGAAGAAGGCCUUUGGGUUGUAAAGCUCUUUCGUCGGGGAAGAAAAUGACGGUACCUCCACAAGAAGCCCCGGCCAACUACGUGCCAGCAGCCGCGGUAAUACGUAGGGGGCGAGCGUUGUCCGGAUUUAUUGGGCGUAAAGAGCUCGUAGGCGGUUCAACAAGUCGGUCGUAAAAGUUCAGGGCUCAACCCUGAAAUGUCGAUCGAUACUGUUGUGACUAGGAUACGGUAGAGGUGAGUGGAAUUCCGAGUGUAGCGGUGAAAUGCGUAGAUAUUCGGAGGAACACCAAUUGCGAAGGCAGCUCACUGGGCCGCUAUCGACGCUGAGGAGCGAAAGCUAGGGGAGCAAACAGGAUUAGAUACCCUGGUAGUCCUAGCUGUAAACGAUGGAUACUAGACGUAGGAACUGGAUUGACGGUUUCUGUGUCGUAGCUAACGCGUUAAGUAUCCCGCCUGGGGAGUACGGCCGCAAGGCUAAAACUCAAAUGAAUUGACGGGGGCCCGCACAAGCGGUGGAGCAUGUGGUUUAAUUCGAUGCAACGCGAAAAACCUUACCAACCCUUGACAUCCAGAGAAUUUUCUAGAGAUAGAUUUGUGCCUUCGGGAACUCUGUGACAGGUGCUGCAUGGCUGUCGUCAGCUCGUGUCGUGAGAUGUUGGGUUAAGUCCCGCAACGAGCGCAACCCUUGUCCCUAGUUGCCAGCAUUGAGUUGGGCACUCUAGGGAGACUGCCGGUGAUAAGCCGGAGGAAGGUGGGGAUGACGUCAAGUCCUCAUGGCCUUUAUGUCCAGGGCUACACACGUGUUACAAUGGGGGUGACAAAGAGUGGCCAAGCUGCGAAGCUGCGCAAAUCUCAAAAAAACCCUCUCAGUUCGGAUCGCAGUCUGCAACUCGACUGCGUGAAGUUGGAAUCGCUAGUAAUCGCGGAUCAGCACGCCGCGGUGAAUACGUUCCCGGGCCUUGUACACACCGCCCGUCACACCAUGGGAGUUGACAGGGGCAGAAGACGUUGAGCUAACCGCAAGGAGGCAGACGUCCAAGCUCUUGUCGAUGACUGGGGUGAAGUCAUAACAAGGUAGCCGUA